rnacentral:pre_miRNA from 1 species
UUGCUACUCCCUCCGUCCCAAAAUUCUUGUCUUAGAUUUGUCUAGAUACGGAUGUACCUAAUACUAAAACGUGACUUGAUACAUCCAUAUUUAGACAAAUCUAAGACAAGAAUUUUGGGACGGAGGGAGUACUUA